AUUGAACGCUGGCGGCACGCCUAACACAUGCAAGUCGAGCGGCAGCGAAGCCUGUAGCAAUACAGGUUGUCGGCGAGCGGCGGACGGGUGAGGAAGACGUAGGAACUUGUCCUAUAGAGGGGGAUAACCAAGGGAAACUUUGGCUAAUACCGCGUAAACUCGAGAGAGGAAAGCUGCCCGCAAGGGUGGCGCUCGAGGAGAGGCCUGCGUCCGAUUAGCAAGUUGGUGAGGUAAUGGCUCACCAAAGGGAUGAUCGGUAACUGGUCUGAGAGGACGACCAGUCACACUGGGACUGAGACACGGCCCAGACUCCUACGGGAGGCAGCAGUGGGGAAUAUUGGACAAUGGGGGCAACCCUGAUCCAGCGAUGCCGCGUGGGUGAAGAAGGCCUUCGGGUUGUAAAGCCCUUUAGGACGGGAAGAAGUGCGUGGUUGAAUAGGCCACGUUAUUGACGGUACCGUCAGAAUAAGCACCGGCAAACUCUGUGCCAGCCGCCGCAGUAAUAC
rnacentral:rRNA from 1 species